rnacentral:rRNA from 1 species
UACGGAGGAUGCGAGCGUUAUCCGGAUUUAUCGGGUUUAAAGGGUGCGUAGGCGGGCUUUUAAGUCAGCGGUAAAAAUUCGGGGCUCAACCCCGUCCGGCCGUUGAAACUGGGGGCCUUGAGUGGGCGAGAAGAAGGCGGAAUGCGUGGUGUAGCGGUGAAAUGCAUAGAUAUCACGCAGAACCCCGAUUGCGAAGGCAGCCUUCCGGCGCCCUACUGACGCUGAGGCACGAAAGUGCGGGGAUCGAACAGG